rnacentral:misc_RNA from 1 species
GGCCAGUGAUGGCCGCGGAAUUCGCGACGUGUGUCAGCUCGGGGAUCGACGGACGUGAACGGACGGGCUUGUUUAUCGCGACGUUGUCUCGGCGAACGUCAUCUCGGCCACGUACGUUCCGAGAACUCGACGAGCGUUGCUCGUACAAGACCCCGUUCGCGCGCGUGUCCCGAGCGUACAUCGACCUGCCCGGGAAGCGAGACGUACGUGUCACGCACGACGAAAACUGUUCCCGUGACCGACAACAGUUCUCUCGCGCGAGUCCCCGUCCGGGCUAAUCGCGUGCCGCGAGAUUAAUCGCUCGAACGAUUACUAUCCCGACUCGUUUCGUCUGGCGAUUCAAUGGCGAGGUGGGAGCGAUAAGAGGGUACGAGGGAGACCUUCGACGAAGACGGAACGACGACUCCACGCCCCCGUCCGUACCCUUUUUUUCUCGCUCGAGACACGCGCGCAGCGAGCGCCUCAGUGAAAAUGGCAGAAGAAGGCGCGGGUGGAUCAGGAAAUGGGAGUAGUGGCGAGACGAGUCGUUUGCAGCUUCUACAGGAGAUGCGACAACAAAACUUUGAUACCAUUCGAUUUGCAUCAUAUCGUACUGCCUGCAAGCUAAGAUUUAUACAGAAAAAAGUGCAUCUGCACAACGUCGACAUAUGGAACGUGAUUGAAGCAUUUCGAGAGAAUGGUCUGAAUACGUUAGAGCCGUCGAGCACACUAGGAGUAUCCAGACUCGAAACACUACUGUCUUCCUUGUUUCAUGCGUUGAACAAGAGGGUCCCGGUGUCACAACAAUCCAAAGUCGACGCAACUACAGCGUUGCUAAUGAACUGGCUAUUGGCUGCUUAUACUAGCGGAGAAAAUAAUAAAAUAUCUGUAUUCUCCGUGAAAGUAGCCCUCGCCACAUUAUGCGCGGGAAAACUCAUGGAUAAAUUUCGAUAUAUAUAUUCGCAAAUAUCUGACAGUAAUGGACACAUGAUACACUGGAGGUUCGCCGAUUAUCUGAAAGAAGUUUUAGCUUUAACCGCAGCGGUCUAUGAGUCUCCUUCGUUCGGAUAUUCGGAUGGUCUCGCUAACUCUAUUUUUCCUGCGAAUUCUAAAGUUACUGUAAACGACUUUCUGGAUACGCUCAUGUCGGAUCCUGGACCGCAUUGCUUAAUUUGGUUACCGUUGUAUCACAGAAUGGCAGCCGUGGAAACAGUGGCCCAUCCUAUCAUGUGCGACGCGUGUCACAAAGAGAAUUUCACCGGGUUCCGGUAUAGAUGUCAAAAGUGCCAUUCAUAUCAGCUAUGUCAAGAUUGUUUCUGGCGUGGUAAAGUUUCGGGAACACAUAACAAUGAUCACGAAACGAGAGAAUAUAGUAGCUUUAAAUCACCGAGCAAACAGAUUGGCCAUUCUUUGCGAAAGAGCUUCAGAUGCGUUCCCGAAAAGGGGAAGAACAGUUUACCGCGGUUCCCAGAACAGCCCGAGAAGACAUUGGAUUUAUCGCAUAUAGUUCCACCAUCACCUUUACCAUCUCACAACGGUUUUCCAGAUCCAGGAUUUAUGGCUCCGUUUGAUUCAGGCUCAGUGGACAGUCGUUCGACCUUGAGGAGUAUGGACAGUUCAAGACUGGACGAUGAACAUAAAUUAAUAGCACGAUAUGCACAAAGGUUGGCACAAGAAGCUAGGACUAUGCCUCGUACUACGUCCAGAAUGUCCCAGGCAGAUCAAGCAGGGAGAGCACCGUCAGAUGCGAAUCUGGCGUCGUUAGAUGCGUCACGAGCGCAACGUGAACUUAUAUCGCAAUUAGAGGCGAAGAACAAGGAGAUAAUGCGCGAGAUAGCAAGGUUAAGAAGGCAACAAGAAAUAGAAGCCGCGGGUCUAGAAAAUCCGGCGUUAAUGUCUGAAUUGCGAGCUUUGAGACAGAGGAAGGACGAAUUGGAGACGCAUCUAGCAACAUUGCAAGAUUCCAGAAGACAAUUGAUGGUACAGCUGGAGGGAUUAAUGAAAAUGUUGAAGAAUCACCAAGCAUCUCCACGAUCAACGCCAAACAGUUCACCACGAAGUACGAAGUCGCCGCCUUUGCCACCUGGUGUUAUUCCGAGCAGCAGAUCGGCACCACCGACUCCUGGUGGCCCGUUGUCUACAACGCCUCAACAACAACAGCAACAGCAGCAGCAGCAGCAACAACAGCAGCAAGCGUCGCAACAAAUGUCCCAGAGCUAUCAAAGUCCCGUUCCGACAACGACUGUGGCUAAUGUACAAGGCAAUGCUAUCCUUGGCACGAUACAGAAUCCUAUUCCAGAUAGUCUGUCGUGCGUUGGCGGCGAUGUAAGGUCUGCGUUCAGGACAAACAGCUUACCAGGAAGCGGUUCCAGCAGUGCCAAUAAUAGCUUGGGCCGAUCCUUAAGAAAUGACUUACUGGUAGCUGCCGACAGCGUUACUAAUGCCAUGUCGACGCUUGUGAGGGAAUUAAAUUCAGCGACAAUUGACAAAUGACACUUUAGACGUGUUGUGGAAUGUGUGUGAUGCACCCCCUGUGAAUGUGUCCUGGUGCCUUGCAGACUCAGAUCAGGAGGACCUUUCUCACAACUCCGGGCUAAUGAACAUCAGAAAACCAUUAGACUUUGAAGCCGGCGAAGACGGGGACGAUAGUAG